GUAGCCACAUUUUAACAAAUAUAAGCAGGGGAAAGUUAAAUUAUCCAAAAUAGUAUCAUUUGAAUGUGUAAUUGGUAUGAAAAUUAAUGGCAUUUACAUUAAUUUCAAGAGCAUGUGUUUAGUUCAUUUUUUUUGGCGCUAAGCCUUUGAAAUCUGCUGUUUUAGGUUUACAUCUCAAUUCCAACGGGCCACAGAGCCUCAAAGUUACUAACACGAGUCUUAAAGUGACCUGUUUGCCACCACCAGGGAUUUGUGUUUCCCAUAUCACGGCAGGGAUGAUGCUAUGGGGCACGGGAGUGCUCAGAGGCCCCCACACCGCGGGCGCCAAGGCUUCAGUGUUCCACGAGGAAACCAUCGCGGACAUUAAGUUUGAAACAGAAAAAUCAGGGUCCCACCUCUGACAAAUUAUCUCCUUUAGCAUUUUCCAAGGAGGCCUUCAAUCUAAGUGUGUUAUUUUUAAGACGAUUCUUCUGACAGCAUAAGCAAUGUUUUGAUUCUACUUCCCAAAUAUCCUAAAAGCUUAGCAACACAACAAAAAAUGGAAGGGGGUGGCCAACACUUCAUUUCUUUUAAUGAACUCAAGUCUGUGAAACUGAACACAGAAACACAUGCUCCAAUGUUGGCAUUGGGGCCAUUCGCGCCAUCUGCUGGCCAGACCUAAGCACAACACCCGGCUCCUGGGGAAAGAAUCUUAGAGACAAGCAAGAUCUCCAGUCACUUGGUCUCUGGACCUUUUUGUCCCGCCUGUAUACCGACAGCACAGCCCCAUUGAGCAGGAGACUUCUCAUGGAUGUCAUCCUCACUGGCACUCGUAGUAGCAGCUACAUUCAAACUCCACAUCACGGGCCAGCCACAGGGGCACUUUUACGCUUUAACUCUUUGACUACUCACACAACCAUUAUGAUAGCUACUUUUAAUGUCUCCCAUUUUACAGAUGAGGUCACUGAGGCUCAGAGGGUUAAAUCACAGGCUUAAACAAAGGGUAAAUCACAUGUUAGCAAAGUUGGUGACAGAGUUGGAAUUGAAGGUGGGCAGUCCAAUUUCAAGUACAUGUUUUUUUGUUUUUUGAGACGGGGUCUCACUCUGUCGUGAUCUAGGCUCACUGCAAUCUCCACCUCCUGGGCUCAAGCACUUGAGCAAUUCUCACGCCUCAGCCUCCCCAGUAGCCGGGAUUACAGGCAGGUGCCACCGUGCCCAGCAAAUUUUUGUAUUUUUAGUAGAGACGGGUUUUGCCUUGUUGGCCAGGCUGGUGUGGAACUCUCGGCCUCAAGUGGCCCGCCUGCCUCGGCCUCCCAAAGUGCUGGGAUUACAGGCAUGAGCCACCGCACCCAGCCCCCUGUUCUUAAUUGCAAUGUUAUAAGGUUAUUUCAAAUAUAAUUAAUAUAAUCAUCCCUCCCAUUUUGGGGAGACCUCAAGUGCAGUUAUGGCUUAGUACUUGAGGUCACCGAAGCUAAGAACUCAUCCUAAACCAUACAAAAAGUGACAGGCACAGAGAAGAAUCCCACCCCAGGAUAUGAAAAUAUCUCAUACAUACAUAGAUUCUGUGAUUUUGUGUGGCUCCACUAAAAGAAACGCUCACUGCAACAACUACGUUCAUUUCACAACCUACGAAUGGGUCAUGAGUGAAUUCGGAAAAGGCUGGCUUAGGCACUCCCGAGUGUUCAAGAACAUGUGUUUAGUUCAUGUUUUAGAGUCUCUCCUCCAAAAGAGACGAAAAUUUUGGUUGAAUGAGAAAAACAAACAUUUCCUACAUGACUCAAUAAAAUUUCUUUGAGACAGGGUCUUGCUUUGUUGCCCAGGCUGGUCUGGAACUCCUGGCCUCAAGUGAUCCUCCCGCCUUGGCCUCCCAAAGUGCUGAGACUCCAGGCGUGAGCCACCACGCCUGGCCCUUGCUGUUUACCUUCUCUUGGUGGUGAUUUUCUGGUGAAAGUCAGCAAGCUCACUGCCAGCAGGCCAGGCACUUGCCGCAUCCUUUGUUCUUCCUCUGCCAGAGGAUCUCUGGUGUGAAGCUAACCCGAAAACGGGGUGAGGCAGGCGGGUUCAGCUGGCCCCUUUGACUGAGAGGGUUUUCACAGGCAGGCUCACAUGCACACGUGCACACACGUGAGCACAGGCUCACAGACAGGUGUCUCACACAAACCCACCACAGCUCCAUCCUGCUUCCAACCAAACAUGACAGGAACCGAGUGCACCUUCCUGUGCCCACCCUAAAUCCCUGCCACCUUGUUGCAGCAGCAUCUUUACACAAAGUUCUUCCCAUGAGGCCCUGUUCCCACAGUGAGGAACCAAGGAAGCGAUGUUACAACAAAGACUGGGAGGAAAGCCAGGCAAAACCAAGCAGAAAAUCAAGGGAAAGGUGAGUGUUCAUGGUGGCAUCCUGGUGGCAGGCAGAUGGCAGGUGUAUGUUCACUGCCAAAACCCUUUCCACUUUUGUGGAUGUUUUAAAAUUUUCAUAUGUUGGAAAAAAUUAAGUGAAAGAACACAAUUUGUCUUCUCCAUGAGGUUUAUAUACUUUACUUUCAACGAAAGCAGCUCUUAACAGGGUGUGCAGUCAAUAUUUAAUGGCAGGACGGCUUGACAUUUAGUGAAACAAAGAGCCAAGAUUACACUAGUAUCUCUUUGAAGUAGAAGAUGCCAUCAAACUUAUGAAUACUUAAUGAGCACCUACUGCAUGCAACUUACAGGUGCCUGCAAAGAUGCUGAAGUUUAAGAUGAAGAGUUCCUCUAAGACUUCAUAUGCAUUUUAGGAAACAUGAACAUAAAUAUUUGAAGAAGCUUAACGAUCUCAGUGAAUACUUCCUAGAUCCUCAUUAGCAAACAUGUAGUGUGCUUUUAUGCUUUAGGUCCUGGGCAGCAGAGAAAUGAGCCUGGGCCUCAUCUAGGGUUCACAUCCUGGUGGCAGCAGAGCUCCCUCCCAGGUUCUGACAGCCCAGUCCAAUCUUGGAUUUAUGCAAAUGUUUUAAAUUUGCCAAUUACAAAAACUAUCCCCUUGGGGAGGUGGCAAGGUCCCAUCCUGGGAAAGCGCACUCUAAAAGGCCUGCAAUUUAGACUCAUUUUCCACCCUAGCCCGUCACUAGGGGUGGUAAAAACAAUGAAACUCUGGCUAAGCUAAAGCUGAAUAUGAAAGUUGGCUGCUGAGAUAAUCAAGCUUCAAUCUCCCCUCACAGCAGUCUUAUGCUAGCUAGAUCUUCCCCACGUUGAUAAGACCACAGGCUUGAUUCAUAAAGUGAAGAGGAAAAUGAGCUGGAAACCGUUAACCUGAAAAUUCAGAUAUUUUUCUAGUGCACCUGCUUUUUUAUCUCUAAAAAAUAAGUUUUCGGGCUAAAAAAACAGGGCUGGAGAGUGGGUGGGUCUGAAUUCAUUGUGACCUACCAAAGAAUUUAAACCACUGAGUGCAGGUGGUCUCUUCCAGUAGAAAAUUUUAUUUUCAUUGUUUUUUAUGAGUAGGCAAACACAUCUUACAACACUAUCGAUACUAGAAUUUUACACUCAGCAAGUCAGACUUCACACAUUAGUCCAAACAGAAAGGCCUAAGAAGCAUUUGAGAUCACAGGUGAGAAAUACAGUGACAGACCCAAAAGUCACACUUUUUCUCAGCCCAGCUGAAUUUCAUUUUGAAUACUUACCAACCAGGAAUUUUAAAUUACACAAAAUACAAAAGAACAGCCAAACAACCACUACUGAGGGUUCAGGGCAAUUCCCAUGCAGGGGACCGGGGUGGGUAAGAGUUCAGGGCAAUUCCCAUGCAGGGGGCUUGGGUUCUAACUUGAAAGUCACGCAAGUGUCACCCACUUGGGCCUUAGGAGGUUACCCACAAAUGGCCUGUCACCCAGCACAAGUAACAGUCCCCAUUUGAGUCACUCGGAAAUCUGAGCAGCAAGGCCAGAAAGCACUGGGGAUUUUGAAGAUGGGAAUGAGGGAAGCAAGGAAAAACACAUUCAAACUCUGCCCACCAGGGCUCACAGAGGCUGCCGUUCCGCGCAGCAGAAGUGAGCGCAGCUGGGGACUCCCUUUCCCCUAAGGUUGCCGCAUUUCCCAGAGGGUGUCUGAAAUCUCAACUCAAAACCCCACGCUGAUGCUGGGCAGGACGCAUGUUCCUGAGGUUACGGGGUGGGCAAGGGGAGAAAAGGACAAAGGAAGCUCGGGAAGCAAUCUGCAAAAGACUUUAUUACAAAAUACAGCACGGGGCUCACAGACGCUUUUCCAAUAUUCUCUAACACGUACACUGAAGCGCUGCAAAAUCCCUGGCGGUGCCCGCAAUCUAACGUCUACAAUAACCUCAACCCCCUUAGUUACAGAAAAACUCUGCAACAGGCAGUGGAAUGGAGAGACGGCAAGUCGCCGCGGACGCCUGGGCUCUCAGCUGCUGAACAAUGACAUCGUUUUCUCCAGGGGUUGAAAUCCAUGUCCAUGGCUGACAACCCAACAAGGCUGGGACCCAAAUUCGUACAGAGAUGAGGCAGAGUGGAGAGAAACAACUCUGGCUGAGCCAGAGUCUCCAGCCACUACUUCUUAUUCCUGGGCUUUAGCUCUUCGGCUGCAUUACGCAGGAAAAUGUAAUUUUUUUUCUGGGGAUUAUAAAAUUCAUGUCCCUAAAGAGAGCAAAAAACACCAAUGAUCUUAUUAUUCAAAAGAAAGUUAGCAUUUGUAGGUGCUUUUUCUAGGUGAAGUCCUGUGCUACAAUACUGGAAACAUAUAAUCUCUCAGAGAAAUAAAACAACAAAGAUAAAGUCAAAUGCGAAGCAGAACUUCAGUCCUCAGAGAAAGGCCUAAGGAUGUGGUUGGUACCAGUGUGUCAUCAAUGUCCUACUGAGAGAGUCUGUGAGUAGGAACCUGUGAGUUCCUUUUCAACACUGAGCCCCCUUUUAACACCCCAGGACUUUAACGCCAGGAUAACUGCCUUGGGUCCCUUGGUCAGAAUUAGUUCUGACCUGAGAAUGCUUCACAGAAAGGAGGACAUCUGACCUGCGGGGUAUCAUGGGGAUGAAGGAGGACACCCCGCCCCACAUGGAAGGAGCAACAGACACGGAGCACAGCAGAGGCAUGAACGGUGGCAUGCCAAGAAAGCUCUAGAAGUUUUGCUCAACAGUGACCACUAAUUCUCAUAAUAUACAAAGUGUAGUUUUUCUGAACAGUAACUCAAGCAGCAAGCUAAUAACAUCAAUCAUAUGUGAUCAUGACUUUGCACUGGAGAUAACUGUCCUUGAACUAAGAACAAUGAAAAACCCCUGAAGCAAAUUUCUCUUUUAAACUAAAAAGAUGCUAAUUUAUGUAACCCCCACAAUAAGCUGACAUUAACUGCUUAAAUGAAUGAGAUUUUACUUCAAUUUUUAAACAGCACUCAAAGCAAUUACCUUUCUCACUGCUUUCAAUUUACUACAUUUUUUAACGCGUAUAACGUAUAGAGUCCCGCGUCAUUUAAGUUAAAAUGCAGAAUUUUGAUGCAGCUGCUGGGAUGAGUAUGCAAAGAGGAGAUUCAAUGAAGAGCCCGAUGUGGGAGCUGAGGCCUCGGGCUCCACGCACGCCACAGCCUGUCCACCCCCAGCCAGGCAGAACCAAAAAAGUACACUCUUGUCACAAAACUGAGUGCAUGGCUUACACAGGUGAAUGGAUAAACAAAUGGCACACCCCACCCGGGAAUACUACCCAGCACUGAAAAGUAACGGACAAGUGAUUCACUCAACAGCAUGGGUGAAUUUCAAAAUCCUUAUGCUGAGGGAAAGAAGCUGGGGCGAGGGGAAAAUGUAGCGUAGGGCUCCACUUAUAUAAAAUUCUAGAAAAUUCAGACUAGUCCAUAAUGCCAGAAAACAGAUCCAUGGUUUUGUGUGUGCGUAAGGGAAGAUUACAGUAAUAUACACAAAAACCUUUCGGGGAGAUGACUAUGGUGAUAGUUUCAUGGGUAUUUACAGAUGUUGAAACUGAUCAAAUUGUACACUUUAAACAAUGACUGUAUUUCAAUUGUACCUCAAUAAAGUUGCUUUAAAAAAAGAA